GCGGGAGUAGCUAAGACUGGCCAAAGGCGCAGGACUUAAGAUCCUGUCUCGGAGGAGUCCGGGGGUUCAAAUCCCCUCUCCCGCA
rnacentral:tRNA from 1 species